rnacentral:rRNA from 1 species
AUUGAACGCUGGCGGCAGGCCUAACACAUGCAAGUCGAGCGGAGCGGCGGACGGGUGAGUAAUGCCUAGGAAUCUGCCUGGUAGUGGGGGAUAACGUCCGGAAACGGGCGCUAAUACCGCAUACUAUCAGAUGAGACUAGGCCGGAUUAGCUAGUUGGUGGGGUAAAGGCCUACCAAGGCGACGACCCGUAACUGGUCUGAGAGGAUGAUCAGUCACACUGGAACGUAGACACGGUCCAGACUCCUACGGGAGGCAGCAGUGGGGAAGAUUGGACAAUGGGGGAAAGCCUGAUCCAGCCAUUCCGCGUGUGUGAAGAAGGUCUUCGGAUUGUAAAGCACUUUAAGUUGGGAGGCGUUACCAACAGAAUAAGCGCCGGCUAACUACGUGCCAGCAGCCGCGGUAAUUC